rnacentral:SRP_RNA from 1 species
GGUGGGCGCAGUGGCGUGUGCCUGUAGUCCCAGCUACUUGGAGGCUGAGACAGGAGGAUUGCUGAGCCCAGCAGUUCUGGGCUGUAGUGCGCUAUGCUGACCAGGUCUCUACACUAAGUUCUGCAUGAAUAUGGUGACUUUUGGGAGCAAGGGACCACCGCGUUCCAGGAAGGGUGAACUGGCCCAGGUUGAAGCGGAGCAGGUCAGGAAGUAGUGGGAGCUUGUGGGAGCAGGUGCCGCUGGCUCCCAGAAGUGACAACCAUGGUGGUAUUUUGCU